GCGUGGAAUGAGUCUGAGUGUAUGUGUGUGAGCAUGUCUGCGUGCAUGUGAGUGCACACGUGUGAGGGGGUGUGUGCAGAGAGUGGAGGUGGCUUGUGAUAUGUGUGGCAGCCGACGGCCCUUGAUCGAGCACUUACAGGGGACUGGGCUCUGCACCAGGAGCCGAAGGCAACGAGAUGGGGUCCCUGCCCCCUGCCCCCUGCAAUGUGCAGUCCAGGGCUGAGGACAAACCCUGAGCAGACAGCUGCAAAAAUAAUGCAAACCCUGAACAGAGAAGCCCAGCAUCCCCGUCCCCUCGAGAACUGAAGCUCCGCGAGCCCAGGCCCCGCUGUCUGGUUCGUCCGCGAUGUCUGCCCAGCCCGGGCCCAGCGUCUGGCAUCUGGCGGCCGCUUGUGAGCUGCGCGUUGAGCGGGUAAGAGCCGGACAGCACGAGCGCCCACUGGGCCCUGCCCGCCCUGGGAGGGGAGCGCAGCCCCCGGGGCCUCUCCGCCCGCGGGUUCCGGCGCCGCCUGGUGACACCCGGUGCAUCUGCCCCGAGGACCCGCCCCACGUCGCACCCGAGGGAGGCCCCGUCCCCUGGCCGUGUGUGGGACAGGGUCUGCUUGUUCCCAAUCCAGUGGCCCCGCCUUGAGUUAGGGCGAAGGUUAGGGCGAGGUAGAGGUGGAGGGUUCAUUUGCGAGGGAGACAGGGUGACAGUCAAGGCUACUGCGAGGAUGGUGAUGAUGCAUCAGGAAACCUUCUUAUGUCCACGUCGAUGGAAACCGCCGGUGUCCGACUUGGAGCAGGAGAUCUGGGGUCCCCCAGGCCCGCAGGUCUGGUCUGGAUCCUGGUUGUUGCUUCUCGGUUGUGGGAACAUCCUGAGGAUUUCUCAAGUCCCCUCAGGCUCCUUCAGCUCCUGGGGUCUCCAUGAACCUGCUCUGAACAUGGAAGGGGCGGGGUGGACCUAAACUGAGCAGGUAGGUGGGUUGUCAGGGCAGAGAUAGUGCCUGGAGGCGCCUUCCUCAGGCCCCGGGCCCAGCGGCCCCAUCAGCACCUGGACGGGGAAGUCGGCGCUCCCGAGGCUCCCCUGGCGGGGAAGAAUCCCCCACCCGCCUGGGUGGUACAUGCAGAGCAGGGGGUCCUGCAGCACCUGGGCGAGACCCGCCUGGAAUCCAUCUACCGCCUCAGAGGCAGCGCCCCCUCUUCACCUGCCCAGGCCUGGACUCCUGCAGGGUCGAGCAUCCACGCCCCACUCCCGGGGCCAGGCCUGCACCUGUGCAUAGCGCAGGGAGCCCAUUGCGCCAGGAGUGGGCCGCGCUGGCCAAUGAGGAGCCCAGGUGUCCUGCCCCGGGGGGCUGCUGGAAGCCAGUAAUUAGAGUAGUGUUUAUUGAGGGAGGGGCUGCUGCCAAGAACAGUGAGCUCCGGGUGGGGUGAGGCUGCGGGGCCGCCAGGUAGGUGGGGCCGGGGGCGAGGGGAAGCCGCCGCCGUGCUGCUCUCUGCCCUGACUGCGGGAUGGACGGAGGAGGAGGACGGAGCUUCCCCCACUUCACCCGCCACACCUGUCACCUGCCACACCUGUCCUGACGCACCCGCGCCAGCCUCUAGGUGGGUCCCGCCGCCUCCCGCAUCAGCACCCGCAGCUCCAUUCCCAACACCCCCGAGGCAGCCUCCUUGUGCUCCUUCCCCGACACCCCACUCUCCACCUUCAAAUACCCAGAACCCAGACGCUCUCUGCCCCAUCACCAGGGGAAGCUCACCUGUGGCCGGGACCUCCUGCGCGAGCGCCGCCUUCAUGGCCAGAGCAGAGCGAUCCUGUUCAGACCUAAGUGAGCUCCUGGGCCUUUGCACACGGUAGACCGUCGGGUUCACGCUUACACUGGACGCCAAGGACCCAUUGUCCCUCUUUAUUUAAACGUUACAGUAUUUACAGUUCCAGCCCCCCCCCAUCCUGCUUCCCUGUUUACUUUUUCCCAUAGGACUCAUUACCUUCCAAUAAACUAUAUUAUUUACUUA